UCUUUGAAAAACAGUGAGCAUCCCAACCUA
rnacentral:piRNA from 1 species